AUUUCGCACCCCCCAAGACAUUUUUGGCCGAUAACACCAAUUUUCCUAUCAUUAGAGGCCGUUAGGACAACAACAAGUCCAUUAUGGACAAUGCAAUAUCACUUUGCUUGACAAGCUAAGCUUGAUCCUGGAAAGAGAGGAGCUCCCAAAAAGGUAUAAUUUAAAAUUUGUAUAGGCGGAUGCAUUAAGAUGUCUUUGUCUCAUGCUGAAAAAUACAAUUAGGGGCAUCUUUCACUGGAUCUGGAAAGGAGCACCACAAA